rnacentral:lncRNA from 1 species
CAAGCAACCAACCAACCAGCACACAGCCUGCUGAAGGAUUCUGUAUGGAAGGAAAAUACCACUCAGACAUAGAAAGCGGCACUUGUGUGGAGGAGAAAUGGCUGGCUAACUUAACAAGCCAGGUGGCAGGCAGUGGGGAUGGAGUAACAAGCCUUUCUCCCUUCAGUCAGCUGGGCUUUCUCUCUGGGUCUGUUGGUAUGCACAGGUACUGGCAAAGGUGUGGAGUGGACUUCCUGCA